GAUGAUGUAGUUUAAUGGUAGAGCGUGGGAAUCAUAAUCCUAAUGUUGUAGGUUCAAGUCCUACCAUCAUUA
rfam:Phytophthora megakarya strain zdho120 scaffold_966, whole genome shotgun sequence.